rnacentral:rRNA from 1 species
CUUGCUCCUGCUGGAUUAGUGGCGAACGGGUGAGUAACACGUGAGUAACCUGCCCUUGACUCUGGGAUAAGCGUUGGAAACGACGUCUAAUACCGGAUACGAGCUAGGACCGCAUGGUCACUAGCUGGAAAGAACUUUGGUCAAGGAUGGACUCGCGGCCUAUCAGCUAGUUGGUGAGGUAACGGCCCACCAAGGCGACGACGGGUAGCCGGCCUGAGAGGGUGACCGGCCACACUGGGACUGAGACACGGCCCAGACUCCUACGGGAGGCAGCAGUGGGGAAUAUUGCACAAUGGGCGCAAGCCUGAUGCAGCAACGCCGCGUGAGGGACGACGGCCUUCGGGUUGUAAACCUCUUUUAGCAGGGAAGAAGCGAAAGUGACGGUACCUGCAGAAAAAGCACCGGCUAACUACGUGCCAGCAGCCGCGGUAAUACGUAGGGUGCAAGCGUUGUCCGGAAUUAUUGGGCGUAAAGAGCUCGUAGGCGGUUUGUCGCGUCUGCUGUGAAAAUCCGAGGCUCAACCUCGGACCUGCAGUGGGUACGGGCAAACUAGAGUGCGGUAGGGGAGAUUGGAAUUCCUGGUGUAGCGGUGGAAUGCGCAGAUAUCAGGAGGAACACCAAUGGCGAAGGCAGAUCUCUGGGCCGUAACUGACGCUGAGGAGCGAAAGCGUGGGGAGCGAACAGGAUUAGAUACCCUGGU